UGGCGACGGGUGAGUAACGCGUGGGUAACCUGCCUCACACUGGGGGAUAACACUUAGAAAUAGGUGCUAAUACCGCAUAAGCGCACAGCUUCGCAUGAAGCGGUGUGAAAAACUCUGGUGGUAUAUGAUGGUUCCGCGUCUGAUUAGCUAGUUGGUGGGGUAAUGGCCUACCAAGGCAACGAUCAGUAGCCGGCCUAAGAGGGUGAACGGCCACAUUGGGACUGAGACACGGCCCAAACUCCUACGGGAGGCAGCAG
rnacentral:rRNA from 1 species